rnacentral:rRNA from 1 species
AUUGAACGCUGGCGGCAGGCCUAACACAUGCAAGUCGAGCGAGCGGCGGACGGGUGAGUAAUGUAUGGGGACUGCCCGAUAGAGGGGGAUAACUACUGGAAACGGUGGCUAAUACCGCAUACUAUCGGAUAACCCAUAUGGGAUUAGCUAGUAGGGGGGGUAAAGGCUCACCUAGGCGACGAUCUCUAGCUGGUCUGAGAGGAUGAUCAGCCAAAUGGGGACUGGAACACGGCCCAGACUCCAACGGAGGAAGCAGUGGGGAAUAUUGGAAAAGGGGGGCAAGCCUGAGGAGGCCAUGCCGCGUGUAUGAAGAAGGCCUUAGGGUUGUAAAGUACUUUCAGCGGGGAGGCGUUACCCGCAGAAGAAGCACCGGCUAACUCCGUGCCAGCAGCCGCGGUAAUAC